ensembl:lncRNA
GUCCCAUCUGGGGCCGCUGCUGCCCCAACGCCCCGAGCGUCACCUGGGGAUCCCCCCCGUAGGGGUGGGGGGGGAAGAGGGGGGCAAUGGGGACCUGCUGACCCCCCCGGGGGGCCCAAAGGGGGGGGAUCCAACGCGGGGACCCCACACAGCAUCAUUUGAUGGGCGCCCGACGUGGGGACCCCCAGAGCCACAUUGAGAUGGGUACCCAACAUGGGGACCCCCCUACAGCCCCCCCCAGAGCCACACUGAGAUGGGGACCCGAUGUGGGGACCUCCCUAUGGCAACAUUGGGAUGGGGACCUGACGUGGGGACCCCCCUCCAGCCCCCCCCAGAACAGCACUGAGAUGGGUACCCGACAUGGGGACCCCCUUACAGCAACAUCGGGAUGGGGACCCAACGUGGGGACCCCCCUACAGCCCCCCCAGAACAACCCCAAAAUAGGUACCCGACAUGGGGACCCCCCAAAGCCACACUGAGAUGGGGACCCAACGUGGGAACCCCCCUACAGCAACUUUGGGAUGGGGACCCAACAUGGGGACCCCCCUACAGCCCCCCAGAACAACCCCAAAAUAGGUACCCGACAUGGGGACCCCCCAAAGCCACACUGAGAUGGGGACCCGACGUGGGGACCCCCCUACGGCAACAUUGGGGUGGGUACCCAACAUGGGGACCCCCCUACAGCCCCCCCAGAACAACACUGAGAUGGGUACCCGACAUGGGGACCCCCCUAUGGCAACACUGGGAUGGGGACCCGACGUGGGGACCCCCCAAAGCCACACUGAGAUGGGUACCCAACAUGGGGACCCCCCUAUGGCAACAUUGGGAUGGGGACCCGACGUGGGGACCCCCCAAAGCCACACUGAGAUGGGGACCCAACGUGGGGACCCCCCUACAGCAACUUUGGGAUGGGGACCCGAUGUGGGGACCCCCCUACAGCCCCCCAGAACAACCCCGAAAUGGGUACCCGACACGGGGACCCCCCACGGCAUCAUUUGAUGGGCACCCAAUGUGGGGACCCCCCCAGAGCCACACUGAGGUGGGGACCCCCCUUAUGGACCCCCCUAUGGACCCCCCCACGGCCACACGGAGCGGUGCCCACGUUGUGCCCCACUGCCCCCCGGCACCGUGUGGGGCUGAGAGUGCGGGACAUCAGCAG